rnacentral:rRNA from 1 species
GCGUGAGUGAAGAAGGCCUUAGGGUUGUAAAACUCUUUCACCGGGGACGAUGAUGACGGUACCCGGAGAAGAAGCCCCGGCUAACUCCGUGCCAGCAGCCGCGGUAAUACGGAGGGGGCUAGCGUUGUUCGGAAUUACUGGGCGUAAAGCGCACGCAGGCGGUUUUCCAAGUCAGAUGUGAAAGCCCCGGGCUUAACCCGGGAACUGCAUUUGAUACUGGAUGACUAGAGGCCGGGAGAGGGUAGUGGAAUUCCCAGUGUAGAGGUGAAAUUCGU